rnacentral:rRNA from 1 species
UUCAAGCAAUGGGGUGACGCAGGAAGGUAACCCAACCCAGGCGAUGGUUGACCUGGGGUAAGGAUGUAGGGCGAGAUGUAGGCAAAUCCGCAUCUCACGUGCCUGAGAUCUGACGCCGAGCCGAUUCAGGUGAAGUGGGUAAUCCUAUGCUGCCAAGAAAAGCCUCUAGCGAGUGUUAAAGCCGCCCGUACCCCAAACCGACACAGGUGGUCAGGUAGAGAAUACUAAGGCGAUCGAGAUAACUAUGGUUAAGGAACUCGGCAAAAUGCCCCCGUAACCUCGGGAGAAGGGGGGCCCGUUCUGGUGAGGAGAUUUACUCUCCGAGCUGGGAUUGGCCGCAGAGACCAGGCCCAAGCGACUGUUUAUUAAAAACACAGGUCCAUGCUAAGUCGCAAGACGCUGUAUAUGGACUGACGCCUGCCCGGUGCUGGAACGUUAAGGGGACGGGUUAGCGACUUCGGUCGCGAAGCUCAGAACUUAAGCGCCAGUAAACGGCGGUGGUAACUAUAACCAUCCUAAGGUAGCGAAAUUCCUUGUCGGGUAAGUUCCGACCUGCACGAAUGGCGUAACGACUUGGGCGCUGUCUCAACCGUAGACUCGGCGAAAUUGCACUACGAGUAAAGAUGCUCGUUACGCGCGGCAGGACGGAGAGACCCCGGGACCUUUACUACAGCUUGGUAUUGGUGGUCGAUUCGAUUUGUGUAGGAUAGGUGGGAGACUGUGAACUUCGGACGCCAGUUCGAAGGGAGUCAUCGUUGAAAUACCACUCUGAUCGUAUUGGCUGUCUAACCUAGAUCCGUAAUCCGGAUCAGGGACAGUGCCUGGUGGGUAGUUUAACUGGGGCGGUCGCCUCCUAAAAUGUAACGGAGGCGCUCAAAGGUUCCCUCAGCCUGGUUGGCAAUCAGGUAUCGAGUGUAAGUGCACAAGGGAGCUUGACUGUGAGACUGACGGGUCGAGCAGGGACGAAAGUCGGAACUAGUGAUCCGGCGCUGGCAAGUGGAAGCGGCGUCGCUCAACGGAUAAAAGGUACCCCGGGGAUAACAGGCUGAUCUUGCCCAAGAGUCCAUAUCGACGGCAUGGUUUGGCACCUCGAUGUCGGCUCGUCGCAUCCUGGGGCUGGAGUAGGUCCCAAGGGUUGGGCUGUUCGCCCAUUAAAGCGGCACGCGAGCUGGGUUUAGAACGUCGUGAGACAGUUCGGUCCCUAUCCGCCGCGCGCGUAAGAGUCUUGAGAGGAUCUGUCCCUAGUACGAGAGGACCGGGAUGGACGAACCUCUGGUGUGUCAGUUGUCCUGCCAAGGGCACUGCUGAUUAGCUACGUUCGGAAGAGAUAACCGCUGAAAGCAUCUAAGCGGGAAACUCGCUUCAAGAUGAGGGCUCUCACAGGGUUAACCUGGUAAGGCCCCCAGUAGACCACUGGGUUGAUAGGCCGGAAGUGGAAGUGCGGUAACGCAUGCAGCUGACCGGUACUAAUAGGCCGAGGACUUGACU